CCGGAAGCCGGGUUACGGUGCCC
rnacentral:snRNA from 1 species